rnacentral:rRNA from 1 species
AUGUAUGGCAUGUUUUAUUUGAGGAAGAACAAAACAAGAAAAAGAACAGCAGCAGCAGAUUCUACAGCAACAUUUUCUGUCCUUUUUUGUUCCAACAGAAGAAGAACAAAAGAGGUCGAUAAUCAUGUUUUCCCGAAAUCAUCUUCAGAUUCGAAACAGUCAUCUACAGCAGAAGAAGAAGAAAGAAGAAGAAGAAGAAGCAGCAGAAGAAGAAAAAAAUUUGAGGUUUUUUUUUUUGGCAGUAGAUCAGGAGAAGCAAAGAAAAAGAAGAAGAAAAGAAGUCGAUCCAAUAAGGCCAGUUUUGCGGAAAUCAUCGUCAGAUUCGAAACUGUCAUCUGCUGCUGUUUUCUUGCAGGCAAAGGCAAAAAAUAG